CUAAUUUUUUUUUCUUUUUUGUAGAGAUGCGGUCUCAAUAUGUUGUCCAGGCUGAUCUCAGAUCCUUGGCCUCAAAGGAUCCUCCUGUCUGGGUCUCUCAAACUGCUGGGAAUACAAGCAUGAGCCACCACAGCUGACCAACAGCUAUUUUUGAAUAAAGUAAAGGAAGAGAGGGAGGGAGAGAAGAAGGAAGAAGAAAAAAAAGAAAAGAAGUGAAGGAGGGUUAACUACAGCCAAAGAAAAAGAAGCAGCCCAACAGAGAGCUCAGGAAAAUUACACUUCAUACAUCCAACUGCUAUGGAAGAGGAUGGAGGUGAGAAGGGGAGGGAGAAAGAAGGAUGUGAUAUUCCAUCCCCAUUAAGAAAAUUUUUCAAGCCCCCAAUCUGAACCUACUGAAUCAGAAUUUGAGGAGAUGAGACCUGUAUACCUAGAUUUUCAAAAGACUCUCAACUCUAUCCACUCUCAUCACUUCUAUUUAACAUUAUACUGGAGGUCCUGGCCAGGGAA